rnacentral:piRNA from 1 species
UGAUUCUCUAGUGAUUUCCCCCAAGGAAC